rnacentral:rRNA from 1 species
UACGUAGGGUGCAAGCGUUAAUCGGAAUUACUGGGCGUAAAGCGUGCGCAGGCGGUUAUGUAAGACAGAUGUGAAAUCCCCGGGCUCAACCUGGGAACUGCAUGUGAGACUGCAUAGCUAGAGUACGGUAGAGGGGGAUGGAAUUCCGCGUGUAGCAGUGAAAUGCGUAGAUAUGCGGAGGAACACCGAUGGCGAAGGCAAUCCCCUGGACCUGUACUGACGCUCAUGCACGAAAGCGUGGGGAGCAAACAGG